AACGAACGCUGGCGGCAUGCCUAACACAUGCAAGUCGAACGAGACCUUCGGGUCUAGUGGCGCACGGGUGCGUAACGCGUGGGAACCUGCCCUUAGGUUCGGAAUAACUCCCCGAAAGGGGUGCUAAUACCGGAUAAUGUCUUCGGACCAAAGAUUUAUCGCCUUUGGAUGGGCCCGCGUUGGAUUAGCUAGUUGGUAGGGUAAAAGCCUACCAAGGCGACGAUCCAUAGCUGGUCUGAGAGGAUGGUCAGCCACGCGGGGACUGAGACACGGCCCAGACUCGUGCGGGAGGCAGCAGUGGGGGAUAGUGGGGGGUGGGCGAAAGCCUGAUGCAGCAAGGCCGCGUGAGUGAUGAAGGCGUUAGGGUUGUAAGGCUCUUUUACGCGGGAUGAUGAUGACGGUAGCGGGAGAGUAAGCGCCGGGUAAGUCCGUG
rnacentral:rRNA from 1 species